rnacentral:rRNA from 1 species
CCUACGGGAGGCAGCAGUGGGGAAUAUUGGACAAUGGGCGAAAGCCUGAUCCAGCAACGCCGCGUGAGGGAUGACGGCCUUCGGGUUGUAAACCUCUUUCAGCAGGGACGAAGCGAAAGUGACGGUACCUGCAGAAGAAGGACCGGCCAACUACGUGCCAGCAGCCGCGGUAAUACGUAGGGUCCGAGCGUUGUCCGGAAUUAUUGGGCGUAAAGGGCUCGUAGGCGGUUUGUCGCGUCGGGAGUGAAAACUCAGGGCUCAACCCUGAGCGUGCUUCCGAUACGGGCAGACUAGAGGUAUGCAGGGGAGAACGGAAUUCCUGGUGUAGCGGUGGAAUGCGCAGAUAUCAGGAGGAACACCGGUGGCGAAGGCGGUUCUCUGGGCAUUACCUGACGCUGAGGAGCGAAAGCAUGGGGAGCGAACAGGAUUAGAUACCCUGGUAGUCCAUGCCGUAAACGUUGGGCGCUAGGUGUGGGGACCUUCCACGGUCUCCGUGCCGCAGCUAACGCAUUAAGCGCCCGCCUGGGGNGUCGCCGCGAGACGAAACGUAAAGUAGUAGUAGACGUGUGAGAGACGACGACGACGACGACGGAGGAGGAGG